rnacentral:rRNA from 1 species
AAUAUCUAAACGGGGAAAUUNAAUAUUGUCGUUAAAUNNCAAUGUGCACUUUUCCCUUAGUAAGACGCUGUGAUCCAUUAGAAAUUGAUCAUACAAAUGAUUAGUGGGCUAUCAAUAGGCCGAUAUGAAGUUCAUUGGUGCAAAUAACAGAAUCUUUAAUGGCACUGUAUAUUGCCCGUUGAGCAUAUCGUGUUCUGCUAUAGCUGUCUGAUGGAUUUUAAAGAUCAUAAUACCAAUGUUUUUAUGCAUUGCCCAUUUCGAUGGGAGUGAUUAUGUAUCCGAUCAACAGCGGUUAAAUUUGGGAUACCUUUUGGACCCGUCUUGAAACACGGACCAAGGAGUCUAUCUAGUAUGCAAGUAAAUGAGUAAAUUUAAAACUUAUUUGCAUAAAAAACUUAACUGUUAUGGGAUUACGAGUCAAUGUUAACAAUUGGCUCCUCCAUCCCGGGGUAUUUUCAUCAACAUAUACAGCAAUGUAUAUGGAAAAUAUACCAUGAGCAUACUGGAUAUGACCCGAAAGAUGGUGAACUAUGCCUGAUCAGGUUGAAGUCAGGGGAAACCCUGAUGGAGGACCGAAGCAGUUCUGACGUGCAAAUCGAUUGUCAGAAUUGGGCAUAGGGGCGAAAGACCAAUCGAACCAUCUAGUAGCU